AACUAUUCACGGAUUGGCGACCCAACGACAGCACAUGAGCUCCGCGAUCUCGUGGGGGCUAGUGCGUCGUUGGUUCUUUGCAUCGUCGAGACCCAGAUCGCGAAGAAUCGAGUGGAAAGUUUGGCGGCUUCUUUAGGUUUUCAGAGUAGUUUUGCAGUAGCUAGUAGUGGGCGGAGUGGAGGUUUAGGUAUUUUGUGGAAGUCGUAA
rnacentral:rRNA from 1 species